UCAGGAUGAACGCUAGCGGCAGGCCUAAUACAUGCAAGUCGAACGGUGAUAGCGAUAUCAUAGUGGCGCACGGGUGCGUAACACGUAUGCAACCUACCUAUUAUUGGGGGAUAGCCUUUGGAAACGGAGAUUAAUACCGCAUAAUACGAUUGACUGGCAUCGGUUGAUGGUUAAAGCUUCGGCGAUAAUAGAUGGGCAUGCGUCCAAUUAGUUAGUUGGUUAGGUAACGGCUGACCAAGACGAUGAUUGGUAGGGGAUCUGAGAGGAUAAUCCCCCACACUGGCACUGAGAUACGGGCCAGACUCCUACGGGAGGCAGCAGUAGGGAAUAUUGGGCAAUGGGCGGAAGCCUGACCCAGCCAUGCCGCGUUCAGGAAGAAGGCGUUAUGCGUUGUAAACUGCUUUUUUAUAGGAAGAAGGAUCCCUUGCGAGGGAAGGUGACGGUACUAUAAGAAUAAGCACCGGCUAACUCCGUGCCAGCAGCCGCGGUAAUACGGAGGGUGCAAGCGUUGUCCGGAUUUAUUGGGUUUAAAGGGUGCGUAG
rnacentral:rRNA from 1 species